rnacentral:misc_RNA from 1 species
UUCAACUUUCACUAUUUUAAUUUCUAUUUGAAUACAGUAUAUAGGCUAUCCACUAUAGGCCAAUCGAAAGUAGCCCCAUACAUGUACCCCUACUUAUCAAGUACAUGCAACAAUGGCAACUUGCCCAAACAGAGGAUAUUAUCUUGACUCAGUUUUCAACAUUGCAGUGUUAGCUGAUAAACUUUUUCAUUCCCCUUUUACAAUAUUCAAUGUCAAUUUGUGAAUAUUAGGCCAGGCUUAGACAGUUAGACCCAUUUACUUGUCCUCUCAACCAUAAAUCAUUUAUUGGGUUGCUCAUGAUGCUAGAGUUGGAUCUUUACCUUUGGGCUGGGUUUCCAACCCUCGCCCUCUUCUAGCAUCUCCAGUUGUCAAGGAUAGCAUAUUUCCUCGUUUUCUUGAAUGAAAGAUCUUCCUUU